GGCGCGCCCAGCGCGUCGGUUUUCCUCCCGCGCAACCCGCUCCGGUUCUCUUCGCCCCGGUUUUCGUCCCGUGUUUUUUCUUUUCGCCGUCGACCCUAGGAGAGUUCGGCUUGCCUGCUCAGGAGCUUCCUCGGCACGCCCUCAAUCUCCGUUUGCUCCCGUGCGCCUGACCCAUCUCCCGUGCGCCGCCUCCUCGCAGACGGCGACAGCGCCCGCGCCGCCUCCCUCUCGCCACCGGCGUCGACGCCAGCUGCCUCCCGAAGCCCCCAGGCAGACCACUGUUUGUUGGUUCCUCCAUUCUUCAUCCAGCACUUCGGUUCGCAAUUUCAGUUGUCAAGUUUAAAUCCCUGAUGAGCUGCUACAGAUGCCCAUCCUUGACUGCCGAGCUCGGCGAGCGCGCGGUCGUGUGCACGGAGCGGACGUAUUGUGACGCACGGGAGGCAGCAAUGGUGUUCCACGGCCGCUUGCCUUGCUUGUUUGACUUUGAGUGAUUUGUUAGUUCCAUCCCCUCCAAAUUUCCCUGGUUUGUGCAGAUCUGGGUGGACACCAUAAUGCACCUUGCAUCUAAUUUGGCAUAUUUUGAUCUCCAUGUGCCUCUCAUAUGAAUUCAGGUGCUUCUGCAAUUGAGACCGAGUACAUGCUGUAUGGACGACUGAGCAAACACAUUGCAAUCUAUUUCGAUCGAUGGUGUGGGAAUCCAUGGGGAUCCCGUCCAUCCUGCAUCAACAGACACAAGCUCUUAUGCAGCUUGCAAUAUGCAUGCUCUUACGCAGAUUGUCAAAUGAAAAGACUCCAGCUUGAUAACAGCAAUGAAGCUUCUUCUGGUGACAUUACCAACACAGUAUUAUCUACAGAUGUGGAGAGCGAGGGGAAGAAUGUGGAACGCCAUCAGGGAGGUUGCCAAGUGAAAUGACAUGGCAUCUGCAAAGCAAGUUAGACGCUAGGACUGCUUGCUGGAGAUUGCACGUGCUGGAGUUGCUUGCUCGCUGGAGAUCUGCCAUUCUGGAGCCUGGAGUUGCUUGCUUGCCGGAGAUCGCGUGCAGACUUAACAGAGUUUCGUGCACAAAUAUUCGUUGGUCAAUCUGAAACAAUCCUUUUCUGUACAUAAAAGCAAUCAGCCGUAUGAGGGGCACAAGAACAUGGAUUACAAACGGAAUUAGUUUGCUUUCGAUCACAAAUACUCAUAUUUUUACAACAUCGAUGAAUGAAUAGAGCAUGUGCUUGCAAUA